AUACGUAGGGUGCGAGCGUUAAUCGGAAUUACUGGGCGUAAAGCGUGCGCAGGUGGUUUUGUAAGUCAGAUGUGAAAUCCCCGGGCUUAACCUGGGAACUGCGUUUGAAACUGCAAGGCUAGAGUGUGGCAGAGGGGGGUGGAAUUCCGCGUGUAGCAGUGAAAUGCGUAGAGAUGUGGAGGAACACCGAUGGCGAAGGCAGCCCCCUGGGUCAACACUGACGCUCAGGCACGAAAGCAUGGGGAGCAAACAGGAUUAGAAACCCCGGUAGUCC
rnacentral:rRNA from 1 species